GAUGAACGCUGGCGGCGUGCCUAACACAUGCAAGUCGAACGGGCCGCGCCUGAAACCUAGUGAAGGCGCGGCCAGUGGCGGACGGGUGAGUAACGCGUGGGCAACCUGCCGCGCACAGGGGGACAACGGCCGGAAACGGCCGCUAAUACCGCAUAGUCCCGCGGGGCCGCAUGGCCCUGCGGGGAAAGCCCGGGGCGACCCGGACGGUGCGCGAUGGGCCCGCGUCCGAUUAGCUGGUUGGCGGGGCAGCGGCCCACCAAGGCGACGAUCGGUAGCCGGCCUGAGAGGGCGGACGGCCACACUGGGACUGAGACACGGCCCAG
rnacentral:rRNA from 1 species